rnacentral:rRNA from 1 species
UACGAAGGUCCCGAGCGUUGUUCGGAAUCACUGGGCGUAAAGGGAGCGUAGGCGGCGCGGUAAGUCAGAUGUGAAAUCCCGGGGCUCAACCCCGGAACUGCAUCCGAUACUGCCGUGCUAGAGGAUUGGAGAGGUAGCUGGAAUUCUUGGUGUAGCAGUGAAAUGCGUGGAGAUCAAGAGGAACACUCGUGGCGAAAGCGGCUCUCUGGGACGGUACUGACGCUGAGACGGCGAAAGCCAGGGGAGCGAACGGG